GGUGAGAUAGGCCGGAGCCUUGGGCAGAGGAGGGGGGUGAAGGCCUCGCAAGAUGGAAGGGAGGAGGAGCCCUGAGAAGCAUCGGGGCCCCCGCCCUCCUACCUCCCGGGAGAUAGAGAGAGAGAGAGAGAGAGCCAGUGCCUGUGCUGCCUUGAAAUUCGAUAUCAUGGACUGGCAGCAUGGCCGGCCAGAAGGAGAAGUGGAGGAUGCAGCGUGAGAAGCUGCUUGGCCGUUGUGGGAGUUCUGGGCAGACAGAGGUGAAGAUUUUAACACCUUUCUAGAAUAAUGGAAACCUUACAAAUACUGAUCCUCCUGAAUCAGAAUGAGGAAAGAGAGAUGAAGCAGGAGAAAAUGAGCAAGUGUGAUGAAAGUUGAUACAUGUGAGAAACGUCAGAAGAAGUGAGAAGAAUCCUAGGUGGGAGGAGAUGAUGGAGUGGCCUUGAGCUGGACUCUUUUCUUGUAUGGCCAUAGAAAGACCCAUGUCUUUCCUGUAACACAGAGUCUGCAUUUAGGGGGAGGCAAUGCCUUGAAGCCAAGAAGAUUGCAGUGAAGCAGUGGUGUGAACAGAGACGGCUGAGGAGGGAGUGGGAUGCCCUCUCUCUUCAAUGAAGAGGAAGAUCUCUGUUCAUGAGGCCCCUUGGCGCCAGGGGGUGAAAUCUGGGGGGACUGGUGCCCCGAAGUUGAGAGACUGCUGCUUUUGGAACUGAGUAGAGCAUCCUUAAAUGGAGAAGCCUAAAAGCAGUCCUGGUCAAUGUGCAGUGCUGCCUAAUAGAACAUCAUAGUGGUGACAAGCAGACUUUUCUCCAAGGUGGACAGCAGAAGGAUGAGAGACAAAGAACAUAAAUCUAAAAUUCCUGGGAAAUUUGGUCUGGAUAGAAAAUGUGUCUCACUAUGGAAGUGAUCAAGUGUUAGAGGAAGUUUUUAGAGAAAGUGUGUAAUUUGUGUCAUUGGAGAUUGUUAAAUGUCAAUUGAAGGUCUCAAUGCUAUUGGAGAAUAUUAAGGAAGGCUUUGGUACUAUUACAAGAAUAAAGUGAUAUUUAAUGAGUA